GAUGAAGAACGUAGCGAAAUGCGAUAAGUAGUGUGAAUUGCAGAAUUCAGUGAAUCAUCGAAUCUUUGAACGCACAUUGCGCCCCUUGGUAUCCCGAGGGGCAUGCCUGUUCGAGCGUCAUUUCACCACUCAAGCCUGGCUUGGUGUUGGGCGACGUCCUCUUUGGGGACGCGCCUUGAAACGCUCGGCGGCGUGGCACCGGCUUUAAGCGUAGCAGAAUCUUUCGCUUUGGAAGUCGGGGCCCCGUCUGCCGGAAGACCUGCUCGCAAGGUUGACCUCGGAUCAGGCAGGGAUACCCGCUGAACUUAAGCAUAUCAAUAAGCGGAGGA
rnacentral:misc_RNA from 1 species